rnacentral:rRNA from 1 species
CUGAUGGAGCACUGCCGCGUGAGUGAUGACGUCUCUCGGAUCUUAAACUCUGUUGUGAGGGAAGAACAAGUACCGGAGUAACUGCCGGUACCUUGACGGUACCUCAUUAGAAAGCCACGGCUAUACUACGUGCCAGCAGCCGCGGUAAUACGUAGGUGGCAAGCGUUGUC